rnacentral:rRNA from 1 species
AAUGAACGUUGGCGGCGUGGAUUAGGCAUGCAAGUCGAGCGAGAACCGUAGCAAUACGGGGACAGCGGCGAAAGGGAGAGUAACGCGUGGGUACCUACCCCCCGGGACCGGAAUAGCUGCGGGAAACUGCAGGUAAUGCCGGAUAACAUCUUCGGAUCAAAGGUGUGAUUCCGCCCGGGGAGGGGCCCGCGUCCUAUUAGCUAGUUGGUGGGGUAACGGCUUACCAAGGCAACGAUGGGUACUGGGUGUGAGAGCACGACCCAGCUCACUGGGACUGAGACGCUACCCAGACACUUACGGGUGGCUGCAGUCGAGAAUCUUCGGCAAUGGGCGCAAGCCUGACCGAGCGACGCCGCGUGCGGGAUGACGGCCUUCGGGUUGUAAACCGCUGUCAGUGGGGAGGAAAUGCGCGGGGGUUCUCCCCCGUGUUUGACCUAUCCGCAGAGGAAGGGAGGGCUAAGUUCGUGCCAGCCGCCGCAGUAA